CCCGGUCCAGCUCGGGGACUCGUUCAGGCCCAGCCCAAAUUCGCAUUAGGUCACAGCAGAGAGAGAGCACACACGCGACGCAGUUUCCUCACCCUUCUCCCUUUCUCUGCCCAGCGCCGCCACCCCUCUCCUCGCCGUGCCGCAGGCUGGACUCAUCGGGCUUGGCACCGAUGGCGACGGCCGACGCCGCCUUCCCUCACCACAGCGGACACAGACGGACGUGUCUCCCCUGGUUUCUCACCGAACGACAGGAGCAGAGCCCCACUGUCGCAAGAAUGGACAAGGAAAAGGGGAAGGAGAGUAGGAGGAGAAGGAGAAGGAGAGGAGCUUGGUGUCCAUUAUGAAGACUAAGCCGCUUGUCCCAGGAAGCAGAAGGGGAAGGGCAAGGGCAAGGGUUGUGUCACUCCAGAGGAAGCGGGCCAAGGAUUAUGGCAAUGUCCCGCUCGCCGAGUUGUUAUUAAGGGUAAAAAAAGCUCCGCCGCCUUGACGUCUCGCUGACCUUGCCGACGCCAAGAGCCGCACCAACCCCACUGUCCGCCGCUGGAUGGCGGAUCUCAAGACCGCCGCCUACCAAGGCGACCACGUCCUCGAAAACUUCCGCUACGAAGCGCUGCGGCGCUGUGCUGACGACCACAUCCGCGGCCCCUCCUCCGUAAUGGAACAUGAUAAGCAAGUGGAGAAGGAUUAUGAAGAGGAGGAAGAGAAUGAGGAGGACGAGGAUGAGCAAGGUACUGUGUUUGAGGAGGAGGAAGAUUCUCAUUUUGAUGUCGAAGCACCAAGUGUUAUGCUAUGCAAAAUUGCAUUGUUUGGCUAUCAACGUUCAAUAUUUUUGUUGUAUAAAGUUCAAAGGAGGAGCUGUCCAAAAUUCAAAAGCAAUGAUGCCCAAUUCUUUUCA